UGCAAGUCGAGGGGUAACAGAGAAAAGCUUGCUUUUUUGCUGACGACCGGCGCACGGGUGCGUAACGCGUAUGCAAUCUACCUUUUGCUAAGGGAUAGCCCAGAGAAAUUUGGAUUAAUACCUUAUAGUAUGUUGAUUUGGCAUCAAGACAACAUUAAAGAUUACGGCAAAAGAUGAGCAUGCGUUCUAUUAGCUAGUUGGUAUGGUAACGGCAUACCAAGGCAACGAUAGAUAGGGGUCCUGAGAGGGAGAUCCCCCACACUGGUACUGAGACACGGACCAGACUCCUACGGGAGGCAGCAGUGAGGAAUAUUGGACAAUGGAGGCAACUCUGAUCCAGCCAUGCCGCGUGCAGGAAGACUGCCCUAUGGGUUGUAAACUGCUUUUAUACAGGAAGAAACCCCUCUACGUGUAGAGGCUUGACGGUACUGUAAGAAUAAGGAUCGGCUAACUCCGUGCCAGCAGCCGCGGUAAUACGGAGGAUCCAAGCGUUAUCCGGAAUCACUGGGUUUAAAGGGUCCGUAGGUGGAUAAUUAAGUCAGAGGUGAAAUCCUGCAGCUUAACUGUAGAAUUGCCUUUGAUACUGGUUGUCUUGAGUUAUUAUGAAGUGGUUA
rnacentral:rRNA from 1 species